rnacentral:rRNA from 1 species
UAAUACGGAGGGUCCAAGCGUUGUCCGGAAUCACUGGGUGUAAAGGGUGCGCAGGCGGGCUUGUAAGUCAGAGGUGAAAUCCCCCGGCCUAACCGGGGAACUGCCUUUGAUACUGCAAGUCUUGAGUCUUGGAGAGGUUGCCAGAAUUCGUGGUGUAGCGGUGAAAUGCGUAGAUAUCACGAGGAAUACCUGAGGCGUAGGCGGGCAACUGGACAAGUACUGACGCUGAGGCACGAAAGCGUGGGGAGCGAACAGGAUUAGAUACCCUGGUAGUCCACGCCGUAAACGAUGGAUGCUCGAUGCUGGUCCGUUUCAGGGGCAGUGUCCAAGCUAACGCGUUAAGCAUCCCACCUGGGGAGUACGAUCGCAAGGUUG